GCUUAGUCUAGGUAAAGUAGUCAAAGUAUCGUCAGCGCGCUUCAGUAGUUCACAGAGGGACCAGCUUCAGGGCAGACUUAUGGAACUCCAACAAUCUAGUUAUCAGGCUAGUAUAACUUACACAUACCAGACUACCAAGAUAGAAAGCAGAUCUGGGUGGGGCCAUUGGGUAAUAGAGCAGCAUUUGGAUAAGACUACCUAGGAAAUUCGCAUAUCCCUUAGACAGAAAUGUUGAACACCAGAG
rnacentral:lncRNA from 1 species